AUUGAACGCUGGCGGCAGGCUUAACACAUGCAAGUCGAGCGGAGAGAGGUAGCUUGCUACUGAUCUUAGCGGCGGACUCGUGAGUAAUGCUUAGGAAUCUGCCUAUUAGUGGGGGACAGCACUUCGAAAGCAAUCCUAAUACCGCAUACGUCCUACGGAAGACAGCAGGGGCUCUUCGGAUCUUGCGCUAAUAGAUGAGUCUAAGUCGGAUUAGCUGGUUGGUGGGGUAAAGGCCUACCAAGGCGACGAUCUGUAGCGGGUCUGGGAGGAUGGUCCGCGACACUGGGACUGAGACACGGCCCAGACUCCUACGGGAGGCAGCAGUGGGGAAUAUUGGACAAUGGGCGCAAGCCUGAUCCAGCUAUGCCGCGUGUGUGAAGAAGGCCUUAUGGUUGUAAAGCACUUUAAGCGAGGAGGAGGCUACUUUAGAUAAUACCUAGAGAUAGUGGACGUUACUCGCAGAAUAAGCACCCGCUAACUCUGUGCCAGCCGCCGCCGUAA
rnacentral:rRNA from 1 species